AGUGAACGCUGGCGGUAGGCCUAACACAUGCAAGUCGAACGGCAGCACAGUAAGAGCUUGCUCUUACGGGUGGCGAGUGGCGGACGGGUGAGGAAUACAUCGGAAUCUACUUUUUCGUGGGGGAUAACGUAGGGAAACUUACGCUAAAACCGCAUACGACCUACGGGUGAAAGCAGGGGAUCUUCGGACCUUGCGCGAUUGAAUGAGCCGAUGUCGGAUUAGCUAGUUGGCGGGGUAAAGGCCCACCAAGGCGACGAUCCGUAGCUGGUCUGAGAGGAUGAUCAGCCACACUGGAACUGAGACACGGUCCAGACUCCUACGGGAGGCAGCAGUGGGGAAUAUUGGACAAUGGGCGCAAGCCUGAUCCAGCCAUACCGCGUGGGUGAAGAAGGCCUUCGGGUUGUAAAGCCCUUUUGUUGGGAAAGAAAAGCAGCAGGUUAAUACCCCGCUGUUCUGACGGUACCCAAAGAAUAAGCAUCGGCUAACUUCGUG
rnacentral:rRNA from 1 species